GAGGAUCUAGCUCAGUGGAAGACUGUGUGCUUAGCAUGCACAAGGUCCUGAGUUCAAUCCCCAGUAUCUCCA
rnacentral:tRNA from 1 species